UAUUGGUCAAUGGGCGCGAGCCUGAACCAGCCAAGUCGCGUGAGGGAGGACGGCCCUACGGGUUGUAAACCUCUUUUGCCGGGGAGCAACGGGCGCCACGUGUGGCGCCACUGAGAGUACCCGGAGAAAAAGCAUCGGCUAACUCCGUGCCAGCAGCCGCGGUAAUACGGAGGAUCCAAGCGUUAUCCGGAUUUAUUGGGUUUAAAGGGUGCGUAGGCGGGCUGUUAAGUCAGCGGUCAAAUGUCGGGGCUCAACCCCGGCCUGCCGUUGAAACUGGCGGCCUCGAGUGGGCGAGAAGUAUGCGGAAUGCGUGGUGUAGCGGUGAAAUGCAUAGAUAUCACGCAGAACUCCGAUUGCGAAGGCAGCAUACCGGCGCCCUACUGACGCUGAGGCACGAAAGCGUGGGUAUCGAACAGG
rnacentral:rRNA from 1 species